ensembl:snRNA U6 U6 spliceosomal RNA
UUGCUUCAGAAGCACAUAUACUAAAAUUGGAAUGAUACAGAGAAGAUUAGCGUGGCCACUG